GUUUUGUGUAGCCUUUGUAUCGUC
rnacentral:siRNA from 1 species